rnacentral:rRNA from 1 species
AUUGAACGCUGGCGGCAGGCCUAACACAUUCAAGUCGAGCGAGCGGCGGACGGGUGAGUAAUGUCUGGGAAACUGCCUGAUGGAGGGGGAUAACUACUGGAAACGGUAGCUAAUACCGCAUACCAUCAGAUGUGCCCAGAUUGGAUUAGCUAGUUGGUUGGGUAACGGCUCACCUAGGCGACGAUCCCUAGCUGGUCUGAGAGGAUGACCAGCCACACUGGAACUGAGACACGGGCCAGACGCCGACGGGAGGCAGCAGUGGGGAAUAUUGCACAAUGGGCGCAAGCCUGAUGCAGCCAUGCCGCGUGUAUGAAGAAGGCCUUCGGGUUGUAAAGCACUUGCAGCGGGGAGGCGUUACUCGCAGAAGAAGCACCGGCUAACUCCGUGCCAGCAGCCGCGGUAAUAC